rnacentral:rRNA from 1 species
GGCCGCAAGGUUAAAACUCAAAUGAAUUGACGGGGGCCCGCACAAGCGGUGGAGCAUGUGGUUUAAUUCGAUGCAACGCGAAGAACCUUACCUGGUCUUGACAUCCACGGAAGUUUUCAGAGAUGAGAAUGUGCCUUCGGGAACCGUGAGACAGGUGCUGCAUGGCUGUCGUCAGCUCGUGUUGUGAAAUGUUGGGUUAAGUCCCGCAACGAGCGCAACCCUUAUCCUUUGUUGCCAGCGGUCCGGCCGGGAACUCAAAGGAGACUGCCAGUGAUAAACUGGAGGAAGGUGGGGAUGACGUCAAGUCAUCAUGGCCCUUACGACCAGGGCUACACACGUGCUACAAUGGCGCAUACAAAGAGAAGCGACCUCGCGAGAGCAAGCGGACCUCAUAAAGUGCGUCGUAGUCCGGAUUGGAGUCUGCAACUCGACUCCAUGAAGUCGGAAUCGCUAGUAAUCGUGGAUCAGAAUGCCACGGUGAAUACGUUCCCGGGCCUUGUACACACCGCCCGUCACACCAUGGGAGUGGGUUGCAAAAGAAGUAGGUAGCUUAACCUUCGGGAGGGCGCUUACCACUUUGUG